AAUGGGCGCAAGCCUGAUCUAGCCAUGCCGCGUGAGUGAUGAAGGCCUUAGGGUCGUAAAGCUCUUUCGCCAGGGAUGAUAAUGACAGUACCUGGUAAAGAAACCCCGGCUAACUCCGUGCCAGCAGCCGCGGUAAUACGGAGGGGGUUAGCGUUGUUCGGAACUACUGGGCGUAAAGCGCGCGUAGGCGGACUAUUAAGUCGGGGGUGAAAUCCCGGGGCUCAACCCCGGAACUGCCCUCGAUACUGGUAGUCUUGAGUUCGAGAGAGGUGAGUGGAAUUCCGAGUGUAGAGGUGAAAUUCGUAGAUAUUCGGAGGAACACCAGUGGCGAAGGCGGCUCACUGGCUCGAUACUGACGCUGAGGUGCGAAAGUGUGGGAGCAAACAGGAUU
rnacentral:rRNA from 1 species